UACAACGUGCUUUGAUGG
rnacentral:siRNA from 1 species